AAGAACCCUAAGGAAGCCACCAUUGGAGAAAAGCUUGACUAGUAGCUUUGACUUCAUUUUUGGCGCCCUUUCACUCACCUUAGAACUUUGAACUUGGAAUACUUUAGGCUCCUCCCACUCUCCUCUUCAAAACCCUUGAAGGAUCUAGCCUAACUCCUAGUUUUGCUUUGGUAUCUAGAGAUUCAAUUCUCUAGUGAGUUGAAGGUAGCAAGCUGAAAAAUCUGUUUUGCUGACCGAAAAUUUGGGGCGAUUUCAUUUCGGUGGUAAUUGGGAUUUUCAUUCCAAUUGAGGUA